rnacentral:tRNA from 1 species
GGGGUUGUAGCUCAGUGGUAGAGUCCUUGCCUAGCACACAUGAGGCACUGGGUUCGAUCCUCAGCACCACA